rnacentral:tRNA from 1 species
GCUUUUCUGUGGCUCAGUCAGUAGAGCAUUGCACUAGCAAAGUAAAGGUUGUAGGUUCAGACCCUAAAGAAAGCA